CAGUCGCCGCGGGAAUACGUAGGGGGCAAGUGUUAUCCGGAAUUACUGGGUGUAAAGGGAGCGUAGACGGUUAAACAAGCCUGAAGUGAAAUGCCGGGGCUCAACCCCGGAGCUGCUUUGGGAACUGUAGAACUGGAGUGUCGGAGGGGUAAGCGGAAUUCCCAGUGUAGCGGUGAAAUGCGUAGAUAUUGGGAGGAACACCGGCGGCGAAGGCGGCUUACUGGACGACAACUGACGUUGAGGCUCGAAGGCGUGGGUAGCAGACAGGAUUAGAUACCCCGGUAGUCCCUGUCUCUUAUAC
rnacentral:rRNA from 1 species